GUCUAGAGGCUUCGACAAUGCCCGAAAGGGUGAUCGAGCGAUGCCGCGUGCGGGAUGAAGGCCUUCGGGUUGUAAACCGCUUUUACCUGGGAAGAACGCCCGUCUCGUGAAGAUGGGUUUGACGGUACCAGAGGAAUAAGCCCCGGCAAACUCUGUGCCAGCAGCCGCGGUAAUACAGAGGUCUCAAGCGUUGUUCGGAAUUAUUGGGCGUAAAGGGCGCGGAGGCGGGAAGGGGUGUCGACCUGUAAAUCUAUCGUUUCAAGCGGUAGGCUUGGGUUGAAACUGCCUUUCUAGAGGAUUUCAGGGGAGUUUGGAAUUUACGGUGUAGCAGUGAAAUGCGUGGAUAUCGUAAGGAAGGCUUGUGGCGAAGGCGAAACUCUGGGGAAUACCUGACGCUGAGGCGCGAAGGCUAGGUUAGCAAACGGGAUUAGAAACCCCGGUAGUCC
rnacentral:rRNA from 1 species